rnacentral:lncRNA from 1 species
AUAACCUGAGCUGCGUCCGAAUUGCCAAGUAGUAGUCGAAGUAGUAGUCGAAGUAGUAUCUAGCAUGUCCGAAUUGGCCACCGGAGCGAGUAGCAUGCUACUUCAGAUACUACUUCAGAUGCUAGACACGCCCACAUUGUAGGUUGGUCUCGGUGCAUCCUACGGGCAUGCUACUGACCCAAAAUGCACCGCGGGCUUCUUCUUCGUCCUCUUAAAAGUUGUAGAAGCGCAUGUGAUGCUAGCGCCACCAGCUGCUCUGCCUAUUUAAAAGUGUCGCAACGCCGGCUGGCCACAGCAGCGCGCACCAUGUCGGAGCAGCAGCAGCAGGCGGGACCGCAGUAGUACAGAUGUAAGUUUCAUGUAACUUCACACACUGUCCUAAAAAAUGUGCGGUUGUAUCUCUUUGUCAUGUCAUGGUGUCAUAUUUGCCCAAGUAAUCAUUUUAUGAGCAAGUGGCGACAUCAUGGAGGUAAAGCUCACUUAUUCCAUCAUUAAACUGCACAGCUGCAGUACUACAGCCAGGCCCGCAGAUGAGGGGCUUCAGUUACCACUGUCUGCACAGGCGCAGUACCUACUCUCUGCCUGCGGGGGUCGUCUUUCCCCACCGCUCGUCUAGUGUGUCCGAAUUGGGCCAACGUUUUUAGUAUGUAGGAGUAGGAUCUAGCAGUAGCACGUAGCAGUAGCAUGUAGUAUCCGAGCGGGCAGUUCGGACGCAGCACUGGAGUUACGCGCGUGCACAACCACUAUAAAAAGCCAUCAUCAAUGGAGCCCCGAUACCACGAGUCACCAUGACAACAGAGCAAAAACGGUCAAUUUAUUUCACCCCGGUGGAGUUGGAGGUCCUUAUGCUUGCCUAAGGCGAGUAUGAGAACAUUUUUCGCCGCAAAUCCAACACGGCUGCAGCAGCGAAGGAGAGAGAGACGGCAUGGGAGAAAAUUGCUGCGCGAGUCAAUGCGUAAGUUUGAAUGUACUACUCCAUUGACGUAACAUAUAAGAUCGAAGCACAGUCUAUAGUUAUGAAUAUAAGUAGGAAUGAAAUCUGAUUUUCAUUUAGGUGCAAUCCAACGGGAGAAAAAAGGACUUGGAAGCAGCUCAAAAUGAAACAUAAAAAGAUAAUUCAAAAAGGUAAGGCAUAUUUUGCUAGGCUGUGAUUGCACCUCACUUUGAUUUUAAUUUAAUUUUUUAAAAUGGACUUAGGCUAUUAGACAGAGUCAAUAUUAAUUUAAACUAAAAUAUUAAUUCAGCGGCUACUUCAAAUAAUAAUUUAAACCCCAAACAAAAUGUAGUUUUUCAACGUCCUCUCACUUAAUUCUACACUUCGUGGAUUAACACUUGAUACAAACACAUUUAUAUUUUAGACCUAUUGAAGUCAUUUAAAAUGUGACGCUGUAGCCUAC